ensembl:lncRNA
CUCAUCUCAUCACGUCUCGUCUCGUCUCAUCUCAUCUCAACACAUCUCAUCUCAUCACAUCACAUCUCAUCUCAUCUCAUCACAUCUCAUCUCAUCACAUCUCUUCUCAUCUCAUCUCAUCUCAUCUCAUCACAUCACAUCACAUCACAUCACAUCUCAACUCAUCACAUCUCAUCACAUCUCAACUCAUCUCAUCUCAUCUCAUCUCAUCUCAUCUCAUCUCUUCUCAUCACAUCACAUCACAACUCGUCACAUCUCGUCUCAUCUCGUCACAUCACAUCACAUCUCAUCUCAUCUCAUCUCAUCACAUCACAUCUCUUCUCAUCACAUCUCAUCUCAUCUCAUCUCAUCUCAUCUCAUCACAACUCAUCACAUCUCAUCUCAUCACAUCACAUCACAUCACAUCUCAUCUCAUCUCAUCUCAUCUCAUCUCAUCUCAUCUCAUCUCAUCUCAUCUCUUCUCAUCACAUCACAUCAUCUCAUCACAUCUCAUCUCAUCUCAUCACAUCACAUCUCAUCUCAUCACAUCUCAUCUCAUCACUUCACAUCACAUCUCAACUCAUCUCAUCUCAUCUCAUCUCAUCUCAUCACAUCACAUCACAUCACAUCUCAACUCAUCACAUCUCAACUCGUCUCGUCACGUCACGUCACGUCACGUCUCGUCUCGUCUCGUCUCGUCUCGUCACGUCACGUCACGUCACGUCACGUCUCGUCUCAUCUCAUCUCAUCACAUCACAUCACAUCACAUCUCAUCUCAUCACAUCACAUCUCAUCACAUCUCAUCACAUCUCUUCUCAUCUCAUCACAUCACAUCACAUCUCAUCUCAUCUCAUCUCAUCACAUCACAUCACAUCACAUCACAUCUCAUCACAUCUCAUCACUUCACAUCUCAUCACAUCUCAUCUCAUCACAUCACAUCACAUCACAUCUCAUCUCAUCUCAUCUCAUCACAUCACAUCUCAUCUCAUCACGUCUCGUCUCAUCACUUCACAUCUCAACUCAUCUCAUCUCAUCUCAUCUCAUCUCAUCACAACUCAUCACAUCACAUCACAUCUCAUCUCAUCUCAUCACAUCUCAACUCAUCUCAUCACAUCACAUCACAUCACAUCACAUCUCAACUCAUCACAUCUCAUCUCAUCUCAUCUCAUCACAACUCGUCUCGUCACGUCACGUCACGUCACGUCUCGUCUCGUCUCGUCUCGUCUCGUCUCGUCUCGUCUCGUCACGUCACGUCACGUCACGUCACGUCUCGUCUCGUCUCGUCUCGUCUCGUCUCGUCACAUCACAUCACAUCAAAUCAUAUAUGGAUGUAUUAAGUGAGUGUGUCUCUGAGAGCAUGAGCUCAUCCUGCAUUAGCAGCCGCCGGAGGGAAGGAUUGAGUUUGUGGGCAGCCGGUCUCGGUGCCGGUUUGGCUCGUGUUUACCAGCAGACAGCUGGUCUGUAGAGAUGAUUCACAGAUCUGUGUCUGGAGAAAGCUGAUCCGCUGCUGACGGUGCAGGAAAGCCUGAUGUGAGCGGAUGAUGCUGUCAGACUCAGCUGCUGCACUCCAGUAAAUCUGAGCAUCGCAGGCAGACGCUCCUGAUGAACAGACAAUAACACUGAUGCAUCGUUUCCAGGAAAGUCCUCCGUGAUAUCGACCCCUCCUUUGCACUUAUUAAAGACACAGCGAGGUGCAAUCAGAAUACAGAAAAGCACCGGCAGAAUCACUUUCAUCUGUAAUUCACAAUCGACAGAAUCAGGACUACAUCAGGGAUUGAUUCUCUGUCUGCUGGAAAAACAUCACGUGACACAUGUUUUGCUGAAACUAAGACACACAGAGUCUCCCCGUGACUCCCGUCAGCGCCUGAUUGGGCGGAAUCUCGUCGCCGUAACCAUGGCGACUGCCCACAGAGCACCUGGAGUGGUGACGCAGGCGUCGCUAUGACUCCUGAAGGACGGAGCGGUGAUAUAAAUAGAAAAAGAGAUAAGAAACGGGGGGAUAUUUGGGGAAGAUGAUGGCAGCUGUGACCCACACACACACACACACACUAGAGCCACAGGUGUGCCACUGACUGAAUGCCAGUGGGAAUGGCUCUCAAUGUGACUUUGGAAACUCGUCACCAGCAGGGAUUUCACUGUCAAUCCGACUGUAACAGGAGACGUGGAGCACUAAAGUGUGUCGUCCCACAGGAAAAUGAUGAAUAUUGCUCAGACGAGGCUCUCUUACAGCUCAGGAGACUCUCUUACAGCUCAGGAGACUCUUGUUUUAAGGAUGAGCUUUGUCUCAGAUGUUUCUUUUUAGAAAUGGAAGUAAAAACUAGAAUAUUUACAUUUUCUGAAGGAAAUAUUGUGUUUUAACAUGAAGAGGGGAAAGGGUUCUUACAGUAAACUAAAACUAGCACAAUAGAAAAUUGUUAAUUAAAAUACAAAGCUUUAAUUAAAAUAAAAUAAAAUAAAAUAAAAUAUAUAAAAUGUAAAAGUAAUUUAUUUCAGCAAUUUUUUAAUUUUCUGUAUUUUAACUUUAUCUGAUAUAUAUGCAAUGAAUUAAAAAAUACACAUUACAUACAUACAUGGGAUUAUUCUUAUUUAAAACUAAAAUCAUUUUAAAUAAUUUUGUUAUUAAAAAUGUCAACUAAAAUUAAAUAAAAUAUUUUUAAAAACUUAAAAAAAUAUGACAAUUUUAAGUUUAGUUUAAGUAACAGAAUAACUAAAACUGGAAAACUAUAUAGACUUAUUCAAACUUAAUCAAAUAAAAAAAUUAAAAACAUUCAAAUAUGAAUAAAGACUAUAUUAGUAUCUCAAUGAUACUGCUUUACUACAUUGUUGUUUGGUUGCUAGGUUGUUAUUGGUGGUUGCUAGGCAGUUGCUAACACGUGAGUCACUAGAUGUCAUUCAGUAAGAUUUUAGAGCUAUAAAAUGAACGUUGCUCAUUUUAUGUUUGGGUUCUUAUUGAGAUUUUGAUUGCAGACUUUGGUCACUGGAAAGUUGAGCUCAGCUUGAGACUCAUGUGAGUUCAACUUUUUUCAGGAGAAACAUCUGAGAAGCAGCACGACUCGGCAGAACUUUGUCACCGCAGUAAAGUAAGUCUGAAGUUUCAAUAGUAGCACUUGAAUUAUUCCGUCAAACGAUCCAUUUCAUCAUCGUCCUGCUUUUGUCCGGCUGUAGACUGUCGUGUUUGUUAUUUCAUGGAUGUUGAGCACGUUUGUGUCAAACCUUCAAAGAUGAAAACAGAUCUAAAGCACAAAUUCUGUGUGAAGAACACAAGUGUGUUUCUGUAUUCAAACACUUGCAUUGAUUUCUUUAUUUCAGAAGCGGAUUAUGCAAUGUCUGGCAACCCUACUGCUGUUUACAUAUCAAACCGUGUUCAGUUUCAGUGUCACAGACAGAAAACGUGACAACUGCAUGAAAAUGAAAACAUCAAAUCAGUCACCAAGAACUGAGUGUUUGGGAAAAAUGUUUGCUGUGUUUAAAAUUCGAUCGGGUGAAAGAAAAUAAAUGUAAUAUAAUAUAUGUGUGUGUGUGUGUGUGUGUGUGUG